CAAAGGCAGAGGCUUAACCCACUGAGCCACCUAGGUGCCCCACUACAGGUGAUCUUUAAACAGAUUCAAGUGAAGACCUAAGAACUUUGUCUCCACUUAGAAGCCUAAUCAUUCUCUCAUGGAACAAUGGACAAGAGGACCUAUUUCUAAGAGUGACUGCCCACUUCCUCUGAACUAUAACUCUUAUCUGUGGUAAAGCAUAACUAUGUAGAUGUGGUCUCUAUUCUUUGUUGAUGUUUAAUGAAAUGAGAAAUUGAGUAAACAGCAGAUAAAGUCACAAAUACAAAGAGUAAAGAUCAUUUACGGAAGAAAUUUAAAAUUAUUUCUAUAUCAUUUAAAGUAUUCUUGUUAAUCUUUUAUUAUUGGAAUACUGAUUUAGGUGUUCUUACCUGUUCACAGUCUUAGGGGCUUGAUGUUAAUGUUUGUUUUUAGAAAUUACAAGUAUUUUUUAUAUUCGUUGUAAACUUGAUAGUUUAUAGACUAUAAAUAUGGCUGUAUUUUAAUGCUUACAGAUUUUUGGUACUAAGAGAUAAAAACAGUUUUUGUAUAGUAGAACUUUGGUAUAGAGAAUACAUUUUGUGACUAGAUAUAUGUUAUGAAACAUAUAAAAUAAGGUUUACAUUGUGUCUUACUAUAGUUUAUUCAUGUUACUGUUUUAUGAAGUUUUAAUUUAAUAGUCUCCAGCUAUAACUUUUAGAGAAUUUCUUUACAAUAAUUUAUAGAUUUCUCACUUGAUAUUCAUUGUGAAACGAGAAAGUAAAAAUCACCUUUUCUUCCACUUACACUUUGGUAUAGAUCCUUCCUGUUUUGUGGGGUUUUUUUUUAUUAAGUUUUUAAAACUACAGGUAUACUGUUUUUGCAAUGCACAUUUUAAGAUAUUAGACUGGUGUUAUAUGAAAAUUGUUCUACACUUCACUUAGACAAUUUCUUUUGAUCAAUCCAGGAACACCAUCAGGUGUAUCAGGUAAGUAUUAGCAUUAUUUCCUUGGUUAAGAGUCCUUGUUGAUUGUGAAAUCUACCACAGAUGUAGAAAUAAUAUAGAUGGGGCAGGGAGGAACAGUACUAUGGGAGAUGUGUACAUUGGUAGUGGGAUGCAUCCUGAUUUCUGGUAUGUGAGGUUAUGCAUCAUAGGAUCAAGGAAAUUAUGAUACUUUUUUGUACAGUUGAAGAAAUGUAGGUGAGAGGAGUUAGGUGAUUUGCCUACAGUAACGGUUAGCAGUUAGUCCUCUGCCUCUAGAUUUUAUAUUCUUCCUGAUACAAAACCUUUGAGUUAGAAAAUACUUCAUUUAUAAGGAUGACUAGGCUCAAAUACACCUUUUAAAGUUUAGGGUCAAUGAAAUGCCUGAGAAAAAGGAGAAAAAUCUUCUACCUGGGAUAAGGUGCUGGAUCAAACUUCUAAGCUGUUAGAUCUAGCCACACAGAUCUCAGAGAUGGAGAUUUACUCAUUCCAUUUUUUUAAAAAAAACUUUUGUACUUCAGAGGGUUAAGUCCUUUAUUAAUUGGUCUAAUAGAAAAGAAACCUCAUUUGUGAAGUGUUACAGAGAUUGGAUUUACCUUUCCGAGUUUUGCUACACAAGUUUUAGUACAAGUAAUUUCUAUAAUUUAGCAUCCGCUCCCUUUAGGUAACUAGUGUCAUUCCUUGAAUGUGUUGGUGAAGUUCCACUAAGAUUGUCACCGUCUUCCUCAAUACAUGAUCAUACUUUUGUCUUUAUAGAGAAAGUAGGGUUUUCAUGAGUCACUACCUGGAAUCUCCUGUGUACCCCACACAUACAAAUUUAACUUUUAAACUCAUUCUUUCUUCUCCCCCUCUGUCCCAAGAGUAUAUGCCACAUCCUAGGCUAACUCGUAAUUCCAUCCCUCCCGCCCUGAGCCUGUUCUUCCCACUUAUUCUUUUAUUUCAGUAUAGAAAAUCCUACUCAUAUGUUUCCUAAAUUGGGGAGAAAUUUUUUUUAACCCUGUGUUACCUUUAGUGAUUCUUGUUUUAUAGUGUGUAUACUUUCUCCCUCCAUUCAGUCCAUUCAGAGUACCUUCUCCCCUCCAUCAAUUCAGCUUUGUUUCUCCCAGCAGGCUGUAGGGUCACCAAUAAUUCCUGCUUGACAGGUACAGAGAAUUCCUGUCUCUCUUUAUUUUCACUUGAUUUUUCUUUGAUAUUUGGCCUAAGUGACUGUCUCUGGUAUCCACACUUGCUUCUUCCUUAGCUUAUGUAAUUCUGCUUUCUCUUAGUUCUCCUCUCUGGUAUCUCCAUCUUUUGUAUUUAUGGGCCAUUCUUUCUUUGCCCGCAUUUUAACUGAUGGCAUUUCCCAGAGUUCUAGCUUUUGUCUUCUCACUCUAUAUGCCUUUUCUGGGUGACCUCAUUCAAGCCCAUUGCGUCACCUUUGCCUUGAAUUAUUAUUUACCACCCCAUUGUCCACCUUCAAGUUUGUCUGAUGUUUCUGUCUCAUAACAGUACUAUAGGUAUUUAGCCUUCGCGGGUCAGAAACCGGCAAUCCAUUUAGACUCCUCUGUCACUUUGAUUCAUUUUAUCAAGUAGGUAAAGAAAUAAAUUAUUUUCUCUUAAUUUCACUCAGAUAAUUCCCUUCCUUAAUUGGGGCUCUCAUUAUUUUCAAAAUGUAUAUUGUACUUAAAAUUUUCCAGACAUAGCCCAUCAUCUUCUAGGGUGAUAUAUCUGGAAGUUCUUCUGAUACUCCCUUCUCUUUUCUGUCUGUCCUCUCACCUUUGGCUUUAGGUAUCAUCUAGAUGCUAACAAAUGCCAGAUUUAUAUCUCUAGCCCAUCCUGAUCCUGUGAACACUAGGCUGCUGGCCAACUUAACUCUUCUACUUAGAUGUUUCUUAGUCCUCUCCAACUUAACUUUUGUCUUCUGCAGAACUCUUGUUUCCUUCAGAAACCCUUCCUUCAGUCCUUUGUUUUUGUUUUUUUUUUUCAAAGGUUUUAUUAUUUGACAGAGAAAGAGAGAGAGAGAGAGCACAAGCAGGGGGAGCA